GGGAUAUAGCCCAGCUGUGUCCAGCCAGGGUGGAGAAGCGCAUCUUCCUUCUGAUUCAGUCCGUCCUGGCUUCGUCUGCUGAUGCUGACCACUCACCAUCAUCUCAAGGCAGCAGUGAGGCCCCAGCGUCUCAGCCACCCCCCCAGGUCAGAGGUUCUGUCAUGCCCUCUGUGAUUAGAGCACAUGCCAUCAUUACCUUAGGUAAGAAAAACAUGGGAGAAUGGGGCUUGACAUCGUUCUGUGUGUAGCUGUUGUCUUAAGUAAGCCCAGCCAUGGGACUGUGUCAGGGGCUGCGGAGCCUGUCUGUGUCUGCUCUCAGCCAUGUGGUUCCUAGAGGUGGCUCUGAUCUGAG
rnacentral:lncRNA from 1 species